GUCCGCGCCCUAACGAUGUAUGCUUGGUGUUGGGCCCGCAAGGGUUCAGUGCCGGAGGGAAUCCGGUAAGCAUACCACCUGGGGAGUACGAUCGCAAGGUUGAACUCAAAGGAUUGACGGGGCCCGCACAAGCGGUGGAUCAUGUGGUUUAAUUCGAUGCAACGCGAAGAACCUUACCCGGGCUUGAAGUGCAGGUAGUACAGAGACGAAAGUCGACGGAACCGUCAAGUCGGAUGCCUGCAGAGGUGCUGCAUGGCUGUCGU
rnacentral:rRNA from 1 species